AGAGGGUUUGAUUAUGGCUCAGAUUGAACGCUGGCGGGAUGCUUUACAUGCAAGUCGAACGGCAGCACGGACUUCUGGUGGCGAGUGGCGAACGGGUGAGUAAUGUAUCGGAACGUGCCUAGUAGCGGGGGAUAACUACGCGAAAGCGUAGCUAACCACCACAUACGCCCUUCGGGGAAAGCGGGGGACCUUCGGGCCUCGCACUAUUAGAGCGGCCGAUAUCGGAUUGGCUAGUUGGUGGGAGUAACGGCUCACCAAGGCGACGAUCCGUAGCUGGUUUGAGAGGACGACCAGCCACACUGGGACUGAGACACGGCCCAGACUCUACGGGAGGCAGCAGUGGGGAAUUUUGGACAAUGGGGAAACCUGAUCCAGCCCAUCCCGCGUGUGCGAUGAAGGCCUUCGGGUUGUAAAGCACUUUUGGCAGGAAAGAAACGGCGCGGGAUAAUACCCCGUGCAACUGACUGAUACCUGCAGAAUAAGCACCGGCUAACUACGUGCCAGCAGCCGCGGUAAUACGUAGGGUGCAAGCGUUAAUCGGAAUUACUGGGCGUAAAGCGUGCGCAGGCGGUUCGGAAGAAGAUGUGAAAUCCCAGAGCUUAACUUUGGAACUGCAUUUUUAACUACCGAGCUAGAGAGUGUGUCAGAGGGAGGUGGAAUUCCGCGAUGUAGCAGUGAAAUGCGUAGAUAUGCGGAGGAACACCGAUGGCGAAGGCAGCCUCCUGGGAUAACACUGACGCUCAUGCACGAAAGCGUGGGGAGCAAACAGGAUUAGAUACCCUGGUAGUCCACUAAACGAUGUCAACUAGCUGUUGGGGCCUUCGGGCCUUGGUAGCGCAGCUAACGCGUGAAGUUGACCGCCUGGGGAAGUACGGUCGCAAGAUUAAAACUCAAAGGAAUUGACAGGACCCGCACAAGCGGUGGAUGAUGUGGAUUAAUUCGAUGCAACGCGAAAAACCUUGCCUACCCUUGACAUGUCUGGAAUCCCGAAGAGAUUUGGGAGUGCUCGCAGAGAACCGGAACACAGGUGCUGCAUGGCUGUCGUCAGCUCGUGUCGUGAGAUGUUGGAGUUAAGUCACAACGAGCGCAACCCUUGUCAUUAGUUGCUACGAAGGGCACUCUAAUGAGACUGCCGGUGACAAACCGGAGGAAGGUGGGGAUGACGUCAAGUCCUCAUAUUUACAUAUGGGUAGGGCUUAACGUCAUACAAUGGUCGGGACAGAGGGUCGCCAACCCGCGAGGGGGAGCCAAUCCCAGAAACCCGAUCGUAGUCCGGAUCGCAGUCUGCAACUCGACUGCGUGAAGUCGGAAUCGCUAGUAAUCGCGGAUCAGCAUGUCGCGGUGAAUACGUUCCGGGUCUUGUACACACCGCCCGUCACACCAUGGGAGUGGGUUUUACCAGAAGUAGUUAGCCUAACCAUCAAGGAGGGCGAUUACCACGGUAGGAUUCAUGACUGGGGUGAAGUCGUAACAAGGUAA
rnacentral:rRNA from 1 species